UCUGAAAUUAAAAAGAACAAUGAGAAAACAUUAUGAAUGCUGAUGGACAUUUUUUCUAUCAGGAGACAUGAGGUUGUCAAGGAAUCGCCUUCAAUAGCAGAUUUCAAAACUAGAUGGCCUGCUCUUUUCAGAAGGGAAGAGAUUUGUGCAGAGUUUAAAAGAAUCGCAACAGCCCCAUUGGUGUCUACAUACUUGGCGAAGAUGGAUCAAUAUUCUGCAAAGCUUAUAAGGAUCUAUGCAAAACGAGGAGUCAUCAAUUGACCGAGAAUUAAAAACCUGCUGGUUUCCACAACACGGACUGACAACAUUGAUCAGGCUCCGAUCUUUCUUUGUCUACCUGAAUGAAGACCUGACCAGUCUAAUUAAAGAGUAUUUGGAUACAGAUGCACCCAGUACCCAGGAGGCGUUCCAGAAGAUGGUGAUGUGAGUCCUUGUUGCAAAAAUGUAUGGUUCAGACAUCGAAGACAGCCCAGCAGAUGUUGGAGUGUUAUUGAAGGGAUUAAGAGUUCUUGGACCUCAACAACAUUGUGUAUGCGACAACCAUGCUGAUGGGACUGAUAUAUGCACUGAACUUGAGCUACUUUCCUGAAUUCAGGUACACUUUUGAAGUAUUGCAGUUGUUGUUUCUGGAGCUAGAUGGGAAGUAACUAUCUCAUAAAGUUCAGACGCUGAAGACCAAGCCUUUUGCAGAUGUUUUGAGAAAGGAAUGUUUUAAUAUUUCAUAUGUAAAUGCCAUGUUUUUGAAAUGGAGUUUUCGUGCAUUUCAUUUGUCAUUAACUGUAAAAAAAAUUGUAAUGUUGUUAUAAGGUUACAUUGUAAUAUCCAAAGUCCUUAAAAACUUUGCAAGCUUUUCAAGUUGAUGAGUGCAUCUCAUUUGUUGGUAUAUCCUUUACGGUAUCUGUAGUUUAAGUGCAAUAAACAUGGCUUGAAGAA